UACGUAGGUGGCAAGCGUUGUCCGGAUUUACUGGGCGUAAAGGGCGUGCAGGCGGUUUGUUAAGUGCAGGGUGAAAGCUCCCGGCUCAACUGGGAGAGGUCCUUGCAUACUGGCAAACUCGAGGGAGGCAGAGGAAAGUGGAAUUCCCGGUGUAGUGGUGAUAUGCGUAGAUAUCGGGAGGAACACCUGUGGCGAAGGCGGCUUUCUGGGCCUUACCUGACGCGUG
rnacentral:rRNA from 1 species